UACGUAGGGUGCGAGCGUUUGUCCGGAAUUAUUGGGCGUAAAGGGCUCGUAGGCGGUUUGUCGCGUCGGGAGUGAAAACUCAGGGCUUAACCCUGAGCCUGCUUCCGAUACGGGCAGACUAGAGGUAUGCAGGGGAGAACGGAAUUCCUGGUGUAGCGGUGAAAUGCGCAGAUAUACGGAGGAACACCAGCGGCGAAGGCGGGUAGCUGGGCCAACACUGACGCUGAUGUGCGAAAGCUAGGGGAGCAAACGGG
rnacentral:rRNA from 1 species